ACAUGUCGCAAAUCGG
rnacentral:siRNA from 1 species